UACGUAGGGUGCGAGCGUUAAUCGGAAUUACUGGGCGUAAAGCGUGCGCAGGCGGUUCGUUAAGUCAGCUGUGAAAGCCCCGAGCUUAACCUGGGAAUUGCGCUUGAAACUAGCGGGCUUGAGUGUGGCAGAGGGGGGUGGAAUUCCACGUGUAGCAGUGAAAUGCGUAGAGAUGUGGAGGAACACCGAUGGCGAAGGCAGCCCCCUGGGUCAACACUGACGCUCAUGCACGAAAGCGUGGGGAGCAAACAGG
rnacentral:rRNA from 1 species